GUGGCGGAUUUAGAGUUAGUGGGGCCCUGUGCUCAGCUUCAUUGUUGGGGCCCCUCCUUGGGACCCAGCCAGAAAGAAGAACAUUCUCUAUCUCCCCCCUACCCCUGUUUUUCAUUCUUUUUUCCUUCAUCCUCCUCCUAUCAGUAAUAACCAGUAAAUAACAAUAAAGGGAGGGACCUUGAUUGUUCUUGUCAUCAAACUUAUUUUUCCCAUCUUUAAAAAAGGGAAGAAGGAGGAUCCUGGGAACUACAGGCCAGUCAGCCUCACCUCAGUUCCUGGAAAAAUCAUGGAGCAGGUCCUUGAGGAAUCAAUUCUGAAGCAUUUAGAGGAGAGGAAAGUGAUCAGGAACAGCCAGCAUGGAUUCACCAAGGGAAAGUCAUGCCUGACUAAUCUAAUUGCCUUCUAGGACAAGAUAACUGGCUCUGUGGAUGAGGGGAAAGCAGUGGAUGUGUUGUUCCUUGAUUUUAGCAAAGGUUUUGACACUGUCUCCCACAGUAUUCUUGCCAGCAAGUUAAAGAAGUAUGGGCUGGAUGAAUGCACUACAAGCAGAUUGACUCGACCCCAGAUUUGGGUGCUAGCAGGGGGACCUGAUGAGCUCCUUAUUUGCGGACUUCUUUUGGCAGCAUUGAACUUGCCAGGGCACAGUCACAUUCUGGAUGCUCAGGUAGGAUCCCUGCAUUAGGAGAGAUGGCGAAUUAAUGAGGCCACAAACCUUGGAAAUCAAAUGAAACCUGGAGUCCAUAAAAGAUCCCAAAAGGCCCUUGGGGGGUGGAGUGCAAGUUGAGGAAGAGUUCCCUGCACAGCUUACCUCUCAAUUCUCGUUUUCCUGUACUGAGCGCAAAAGUAGGGAAAGCACACCCGCAGUGCAAUGGAUGAGCCUCGCCCUGGGAAAACCACCUUCGUGAUCAUGGUAUGUCCCCUGCCAGGUAAGUAUGAGUUCCCACUGCCCAGCCGCCCCCCGCCCUCACUCGCCCCGCUCUCUCAACCCAUGGAGAGGCCCGCCGCGCCAUGCCCGCUGGCCCCGCCCACACCGGCCCCCACUGCUUCUGCAGGGGCUGUUCCCCCACAGCAUGGGGGCCGAGCUGUCCCCAACCUCAGUAACGCGCCAGUGUCCAGCUGCCCUAAAGCCAUAGCCGGCCCGUCCCGGGGUCCAGGCUCCUGGAGAGACCCGGGAACAGCUGGUAUCGUGGCCCCGCCUCUGCCGGGGGUGGGGGAGACGCUGCGUUUCGCUUUCCCCCCCCCGAGGUGGGUGCGAUACACAAGUGACCCCCCGCCCUGAGGUGGGAGCGAUACACGAGUUGUAGAACUGAUCAAUGAAAUUGUUUUUAGUUGUUCACUUUAUGAAUAUAACUUCAUAAGCAAAGUUUUAUGAAUGAAACAACAUUCAUUCAUAAAACUGGUUACCCCAAUAACUGGCUAAUUGAGUUUCACUUUCAAUCCAAUUGCUGCUUAAAUCAUUGAAACUUGCACUGCUUCAACAUUGUAACUUCUGCUCACUGUUUGUCAUUCAUUAUACUUGUCUAUAUUGGAACUUCUGCUCCCUUUUUGCCAUUCCUUACACAUGUCCAUGUUGUAACCCAUUUUAAAAUGCUCACUUCGUUUUUGCUAAACCCUGCUGUAAUCUGAUUAGUGUAGUUUAUAUGUAGGGAUGAGGGAUGGAUGGAUGAUGGAAUCAACCUCCAGCCCCAGCCUGUCCUGAUGAAAUAAAGUGUAAACACCAAGGGCUGAAGAUGCAGACAACAGCCCUGACAAAGCAAGAAGAGUCCAUCCUCAAAAGAAAAGAACAAAAGUACAAUUGAAGAAACAUCAAAGCCAGGUCCUAGGCUGAAAGUCACGUCUGCAAUUGACGGGGGAUCAGUCACACCGGACCCAGAGGCAGCCUGACACAGCAAGACCUGUAGACUCUGGAUUCAAACUGAAGCCUACGAAAAGGAUGGAUGAGAUGGAAGAUUUUGGAGGGUAACAUUCUGCUGCCAACAUGGAAGGGCAUCAGUGCAUGCCCAACAGAGACCCAGCUCUUCCUUGUGCCCGGCUUUCCUGGCCAGUUAGCCGCCACAAGCUACGAACCCAAGCUACAUUCAGGACUGGUAACUAUACCGCAGCUGCAGAACAUUUGGGGGAGUGUGUGGGAGGGGCGGGGGCGUGUGUGUGUGUGUGUGUACAUAAGUAUUAGGUAUUAGUUAUUGGUCAUAAAUCAAACUGUGUGAUAAUAAACGUGACAUCUUGUCUUGUCCCCUGAAACGACCCUCUGCAGUUUUGUCUGUGUAACAGAGUGACCCCCCCCCCGAGGUGGGUGCGAUAUGCGAGUAACUCCCCCCGAGGACGGUGUGAUACACCAGUGACCCCACCCAGAGGUGGGUGCGAUACACCAGUGACCCCCCUGAGGUGUUUCAGAGUAACAGCCGUGUUAGUCUGUAUUCGCAAAAAGAAAAGGAGGACUUGUGGCACCUUA